UCCCUGGUGGCUCAGACGGUAAAGCGUCUGCCUGCAAUGCGGGAGACCUGGGUUCGAUUCCUGGGUUGGGAA
rnacentral:tRNA from 1 species